GAGUGGCGGACGGGUGAGUAACGCGUGGGCAACCUGCCUUGUACAGGGGGAUAACAGUUAGAAAUGACUGCUAAUACCGCAUAAGACCACAGCAUCACAUGGUGCAGGGGUAAAAACUGAGGUGGUACAAGAUGGGCCCGCGUCUGAUUAGCUGGUUGGUGAGGUAACGGCUCACCAAGGCGACGAUCAGUAGCCGACCUGAGAGGGUGACCGGCCACAUUGGGACUGAGACACGGCCCAAACUCCUACGGGAGGCAGCAGUGGGGAAUAUUGCACAAUGGGGGAAACCCUGAUGCAGCGACGCCGCGUGAGUGAUGAAGUAUUUCGGUAUGUAAAGCUCUAUCAGCAGGGAAGAAAAUGACGGUACCUGACUAAGAAGCCCCGGCUAACUACGUGCCAGCAGCCGCGGUAAUACGUAGGGGGCAAGCGUUAUCCGGAUUUACUGGGUGUAAAGGGAGCGUAGACGGAACAGCAAGUCUGAUGUGAAAACCCGGGGCUCAACCCCGGGACUGCAUUGGAAACUGUUGAUCUAGAGUGUCGGAGAGGUAAGUGGAA
rnacentral:rRNA from 1 species